rnacentral:rRNA from 1 species
GACGAACGCUGGCGGCGUGCUUAACACAUGCAAGUCGAACGGAAAGGCCCUGCUUUUGUGGGGUGCUCGAGUGGCGAACGGGUGAGUAACACGUGAGUAACCUGCCCUUGACUUUGGGAUAACUUCAGGAAACUGGUGCUAAUACCGGAUAGGAGCUCCUGCUGCAUGGUGGGUGUUGGAAAGUUUCGGCGGUUGGGGAUGGACUCGCGGCUUAUCAGCUUGUUGGUUGGGUAGUGGCUUACCAAGGCUUUGACGGGUAGCCGGCCUGAGAGGGUGACCGGCCACAUUGGGACUGAGAUACGGCCAAGACUCCUACGGGAGGCAGCAGUGGGGAAUAUUGCACAAUGGGCGGAAGCCUGAUGCAGCAACGCCGCGUGCGGGAUGACGGCCUUCGGGUUGUAAACCGCUUUCGCCUGUGGCGAAGCGUGAGUGACGGUAAUGGGUAAAGAAGCACCGGCUAACUACGUG